rnacentral:rRNA from 1 species
UACAGAGGUCUCAAGCGUUUGUUCGGAUUCAUUGGGCGUAAAGGGUGCGUAGGCGGCGCGGUAAGUCGGGUGUGAAAUCUCGGAGCUUAACUCCGAAACUGCAUUCGAUACUGCCGUGCUUGAGGACUGGAGAGGAGACUGGAAUUUACGGUGUAGCAGUGAAAUGCGUAGAUAUCGUAAGGAAGACCAGUGGCGAAGGCGAGUCUCUGGACAGCUACCGACGCUGAGGCACGAAGGCCAGGGGAGCAAACGGGG